rnacentral:rRNA from 1 species
GAUGAACGCUAGCGGCAGGCUUAACACAUGCAAGUCGAGGGGCAGCAUAAUGUAUAGCAAUAUCUAUGGUGGCGACCGGCGCACGGGUUCGUAACGCGUAUGCAACCUACCUUUAACAGGGUGAUAACACUGAGAAAUUGUUACUAAUACCCCAUAAUAUCAUAGAAGGCAUCUUUUAUGGUUGAAAAUUCCGAUGGUUAGUGAUGGGCAUGCGCUGUAUUAGCUCGUUGGUGGGUAACGGCUCACCAAGGCGACGAUACAUAGGUGGACUGAGAGGUUAACCGCCCAGAAAGAUAAUGAGGCAAGAACCAGAAUCAUACGGGCGGGAGCAGUAAGGAAUACGAAGCAAUGGACGCAAGUCUGAACCAGCCAUGCCGCGUGCAGGAUGACGGCUCUAUGAGUUGUAAACUGCUUUUGUACGAGGGUAAACGCAGAUACGUGUCUCUGUCUGAAAGUAUCGUACGAAUAAGGAGCGGCUAACUCCGUG